rnacentral:rRNA from 1 species
AACGAACGCUGGCGGCAGGCCUAACACAUGCAAGUCGAACGCUCCGCAAGGGGAGUGGCGCACGGGUGAGUAACACGUGGGAACCUACCUUCUGGUACGGAACAACCAAGGGAAACUUUGGCUAAGACCGUAUACGACCUCCGGGUGGAAAGAUUGAUCGCCGGAAGAGGGGCCCGCGUCCGAUUAGGUAGUUGGUGAGGUAACGGCUCACCAAGCCUUCGAUCGGUAGCUGGUCUGAGAGGAUGACCAGCCACACUGGGACUGAGACACGGCCCA